rnacentral:rRNA from 1 species
CGGUAACAGCUCAAAUUUGAAAUCUGCCGCAAGGCCGAGUUGUAAUUUGUAGAAGAUGCUUUGGGUGUGGCUCCGGUCUAAGUUCCUUGGAACAGGACGUCAUAGAGGGUGAGAAUCCCGUACGUGACUGGGUGCCUUCGCUCGUGUAAAGCUCUUUCGAC